rnacentral:rRNA from 1 species
CUUCCCUACGGGACGCAGCAGUGGGGAAUAUUGCACAAUGGGCGAAAGCCUGAUGCAGCAACGCCGCGUGAGCGAAGAAGGUCUUCGGAUUGUAAAGCUCUGUCCUAGGGGAAGAAGAAAAUGACGGUACCCUUGGAGGAAGCCCCGGCUAACUACGUGCCAGCAGCCGCGGUAAUACGUAGGAUGCGAGCGUUAUCCGGAUUUAUUGGGUUUAAAGGGUGCGCAGGCGGUCUGUUAAGUCAGCGGUCAAAGCCCGGGGCUCAACCCCGGCCCGCCGUUGAAACUGGCAGGCUCGUGUU